rnacentral:rRNA from 1 species
CACAUGCAAGUCGAACGAAGCAAUUUWYUACGAUCCCUUCGGGGUGACGGUUUAUUGACUGAGUGGCGGACGGGUGAGUAACGCGUGGGUAACCUGCCUUGUACAGGGGGACAACAGUUGGAAACGACUGCUAAUACCGCAUAAGNGAACAGCUUCGCAUGAAGCAGUGUGAAAAGUUAUUUCGGUACAAGAUGGAC